GUGGCUGUAGCUCAGUUGGCAGAGCACCGGGUUGUGGUCCCGGGUGUCGUGGGUUCAAAUCCCAUCAGUCACCC
rnacentral:tRNA from 1 species